GACGACGUUCUCUAAUCCAACAUGAGCUUGAGAAGCAAAAAAAAAACACCGAAAAAUCAAACCAAACGAAACGAGUCCGAGAGCCGGUGGCAAGGUGAGUGAAUAAUUAGGAAACCAAGGAGAGAAAGACCCGUAAGCUCGGCCAUUGGGAAGCCGCGAAACCCGUGGUUCGAAGAAGGAAGCCGACCGAACUUCAACCAACCUGCCACCACCACCGUAAUCGUGCCUCACUCUACUCCUUGCACGCACACGCCCAUUAAUCUUAGCCGAUAACCUUUACAUUGAGUCAUUUAAAUUAUUCAUCCCCCCGCGCGCGAUGGGUUUACCAACGAAAGACGGGUAUAUAGUAGGGGAUGGAAAAUGAAGAAGAGAGAAAAUCUGCCCUGUUGGAAGUUGGAAAAGCCGGAAUGGGAGUGUACGUACUGCUCCACAUUCCACACAAGUACGCCGUUUUCGGUUAAAGCUAACAACUGAGAAGUGGAUGAUGAAGAUCAUAGUGAGGAUUGCGCUACCAUGGUUACUUCUAAAAGGGGGGUUGAAAGUGUGAAAGAGACCAACACUAAAAGACGAGCACUGUUUUGUGAACUCCCGCUGGACAUUGUCUCUUCCCCACAUUCGCCGCAAGAGGUGCGGUCGGUACGUGAGUCUGAUUUAUCAAAUAGACGUUAGACUAUUGGUGGGUAUGGACAGCACUCCUCUAGUGGCGUUCUGAAAAGCUAUGAACAUAUAUCAACAAAUUAUCGCACUUUAAUGUACUUUGUCUGCUUCCUUGUGUACAUAAUGUGAACUCUUUACUAGGAAUAAAUACUAUAUGGUCACUUGA